GGGUUGUGAGGUUAAGCGACUAAGCGUACACGGUGGAUGCCCUGGCAGUCAGAGGCGAUGAAGGACGUGCUAAUCUGCGAUAAGCGUCGGUAAGGUGAUAUGAACCGUUAUAACCGGCGAUUUCCGAAUGGGGAAACCCAGUGUGAUUCGUCACACUAUCAUUAACUGAAUCCAUAGGUUAAUGAGGCGAACCGGGGGAACUGAAACAUCUAAGUACCCCGAGGAAAAGAAAUCAACCGAGAUUCCCCCAGUAGCGGCGAGCGAACGGGGAGCAGCCCAGAGCCUGAAUCAGUGUGUGUGUUAGUGGAAGCGUCUGGAAAGGCGUGCGAUACAGGGUGACAGCCCCGUACACAAAAAUGCACAUACUGUGAGCUCGAUGAGUAGGGCGGGACACGUGGUAUCCUGUCUGAAUAUGGGGGGACCAUCCUCCAAGGCUAAAUACUCCUGACUGACCGAUAGUGAACCAGUACCGUGAGGGAAAGGCGAAAAGAACCCCGGCGAGGGGAGUGAAAAAGAACCUGAAACCGUGUACGUACAAGCAGUGGGAGCACGCUUAGGCGUGUGACUGCGUACCUUUUGUAUAAUGGGUCAGCGACUUAUAUUCUGUAGCAAGGUUAACCGAAUAGGGGAGCCGAAGGGAAACCGAGUCUUAACUGGGCGUUAAGUUGCAGGGUAUAGACCCGAAACCCGGUGAUCUAGCCAUGGGCAGGUUGAAGGUUGGGUAACACUAACUGGAGGACCGAACCGACUAAUGUUGAAAAAUUAGCGGAUGACUUGUGGCUGGGGGUGAAAGGCCAAUCAAACCGGGAGAUAGCUGGUUCUCCCCGAAAGCUAUUUAGGUAGCGCCUCGUGAAUUCAUCUCCGGGGGUAGAGCACUGUUUCGGCAAGGGGGUCAUCCCGACUUACCAACCCGAUGCAAACUGCGAAUACCGGAGAAUGUUAUCACGGGAGACACACGGCGGGUGCUAACGUCCGUCGUGAAGAGGGAAACAACCCAGACCGCCAGCUAAGGUCCCAAAGUCAUGGUUAAGUGGGAAACGAUGUGGGAAGGCCCAGACAGCUAGGAUGUUGGCUUAGAAGCAGCCAUCAUUUAAAGAAAGCGUAAUAGCUCACUGGUCGAGUCGGCCUGCGCGGAAGAUGUAACGGGGCUAAACCAUGCACCGAAGCUGCGGCAGCGACGCUUAUGCGUUGUUGGGUAGGGGAGCGUUCUGUAAGCCUGUGAAGGUGUGCUGUGAGGUAUGCUGGAGGUAUCAGAAGUGCGAAUGCUGACAUAAGUAACGAUAAAGCGGGUGAAAAGCCCGCUCGCCGGAAGACCAAGGGUUCCUGUCCAACGUUAAUCGGGGCAGGGUGAGUCGACCCCUAAGGCGAGGCCGAAAGGCGUAGUCGAUGGGAAACAGGUUAAUAUUCCUGUACUUGGUGUUACUGCGAAGGGGGGACGGAGAAGGCUAUGUUGGCCGGGCGACGGUUGUCCCGGUUUAAGCGUGUAGGCUGGUUUUCCAGGCAAAUCCGGAAAAUCAAGGCCGAGGCGUGAUGACGAGGCACUACGGUGCUGAAGCAACAAAUGCCCUGCUUCCAGGAAAAGCCUCUAAGCAUCAGGUAACAUCAAAUCGUACCCCAAACCGACACAGGUGGUCAGGUAGAGAAUACCAAGGCGCUUGAGAGAACUCGGGUGAAGGAACUAGGCAAAAUGGUGCCGUAACUUCGGGAGAAGGCACGCUGAUACGUAGGUGAAGCGACUUGCUCGUGGAGCUGAAAUCAGUCGAAGAUACCAGCUGGCUGCAACUGUUUAUUAAAAACACAGCACUGUGCAAACACGAAAGUGGACGUAUACGGUGUGACGCCUGCCCGGUGCCGGAAGGUUAAUUGAUGGGGUUAGCGCAAGCGAAGCUCUUGAUCGAAGCCCCGGUAAACGGCGGCCGUAACUAUAACGGUCCUAAGGUAGCGAAAUUCCUUGUCGGGUAAGUUCCGACCUGCACGAAUGGCGUAAUGAUGGCCAGGCUGUCUCCACCCGAGACUCAGUGAAAUUGAACUCGCUGUGAAGAUGCAGUGUACCCGCGGCAAGACGGAAAGACCCCGUGAACCUUUACUAUAGCUUGACACUGAACAUUGAGCCUUGAUGUGUAGGAUAGGUGGGAGGCUUUGAAGUGUGGACGCCAGUCUGCAUGGAGCCGACCUUGAAAUACCACCCUUUAAUGUUUGAUGUUCUAACGUGGACCCGUGAUCCGGGUUGCGGACAGUGUCUGGUGGGUAGUUUGACUGGGGCGGUCUCCUCCUAAAGAGUAACGGAGGAGCACGAAGGUUGGCUAAUCCUGGUCGGACAUCAGGAGGUUAGUGCAAUGGCAUAAGCCAGCUUGACUGCGAGCGUGACGGCGCGAGCAGGUGCGAAAGCAGGUCAUAGUGAUCCGGUGGUUCUGAAUGGAAGGGCCAUCGCUCAACGGAUAAAAGGUACUCCGGGGAUAACAGGCUGAUACCGCCCAAGAGUUCAUAUCGACGGCGGUGUUUGGCACCUCGAUGUCGGCUCAUCACAUCCUGGGGCUGAAGUAGGUCCCAAGGGUAUGGCUGUUCGCCAUUUAAAGUGGUACGCGAGCUGGGUUUAGAACGUCGUGAGACAGUUCGGUCCCUAUCUGCCGUGGGCGCUGGAGAACUGAGGGGGGCUGCUCCUAGUACGAGAGGACCGGAGUGGACGCAUCACUGGUGUUCGGGUUGUCAUGCCAAUGGCACUGCCCGGUAGCUAAAUGCGGAAGAGAUAAGUGCUGAAAGCAUCUAAGCACGAAACUUGCCCCGAGAUGAGUUCUCCCUGACCCUUUAAGGGUCCUGAAGGAACGUUGAAGACGACGACGUUGAUAGGCCGGGUGUGUAAGCGCAGCGAUGCGUUGAGCUAACCGGUACUAAUGAACCGUGAGGCUUAACCUUACAACGCCGAAG
rnacentral:rRNA from 1 species